GGGGCCCAGAGGUGUCAGAGGCCUGGCAGAACCUUUUGUUCAAGAGGCAGCUGCGAAGGCAGGUGGUGCUGCCACGCUAAAAAUAGGACAGAGCGUGGCCUCUGAAGUGGCAUCAGCCCUGCAGGCUGGGCAGCACCCGCCAGGGCUGGGGCUGACCUGCUUCUUGAUGAUUUUAACCUUUUGUCCUAAAAGGACGGGACUGGCCACACCCAGUCUGAGGUCAGGAAGGUCUGUGCUGGGAGCCUUCUGAGCAGCACACCCUCUGCCUCCCAGUGAACUGCUCCGUUCCAGGGCAGCUCCGAGCACUCUCUGCCUGUCACCUCCGCUGUCAUCUCCACUGUCACCUAGAUCAGCCUCUCCACAACCCCAGCCUCCUCUUGCCAAUGAGGAAAGAAUGCUGGGCAGUCAGGUGACAGACAGACAGGGCACACAGCCAGCAUGAGCGUCUGCCUGGGGAAGUGGGUGGACUGAAGCCAGAGGCCAUACAAUCCACUGAAUCUGCUGGUGCAGAGACGACUGGAGCAGCCAUUUUUAUCUCAUUUAUUCCCAAAGCCAAGCAUGUCCCUCUACAAAUUAUAACCUGUAAAAAUACUUCCAUUGACUCAGACUGUGUUCUAUUUAAGUAGCUGAAGCUGCUAUUUAUUUAUUUUGGGGGAGAAGGCCUCAUUUAAGCAUAUUUUUAUGGAAGUCUGCUUAUUGGUCUGAACAUGAAAAUAAAAUUUUAAAAUACAUUUCAAAAUACAGUUUUGAAAUGCAAUUUUAUAUUUCAAAAUUGAAAUAAAGUACAAUUUUGAAAUCUAAAUUUAUUUAUUUAAAUAAAUUAAAAUUUAAAUUUUAAAUUGAAAUUUCAAUUUCAUCUUUACUGUUAAAUCUCAGAAGAUUUAAAGAUGAUUGGGUAUGGAUCCGCACCACAGAGAAAAUGGGGAGUGGGUGCCAAAGACUGAGAUUUCACCCUUCCCACAGUGAAAACCUAACUUCCACAUUCAGCUAAGGGUGCUGGGCUGCCGCCUGCCGCAGCUGUGCCCUGGGGGAGGCUUUGGAGAGCGACUUCCCGAGACUGGGGGCCUGGGUACUCGGGAACAGAGACCUCGGAGGCUGCAGCAGGAACACACCUGUUCCUCACUAGGGGCACUCGAGACCCCACGACCACAGCUGCAAUGUCCACUGAUCUAAAUGCCCCCCUUUCCCAGACAAAGCCCACAGCCCAUCCUCUCUCCUCUUCGCAGCUGGACGUGCUUCACCACCCUGGAAGGGCGGGAGGAUGAGGGAGGCCGUGGCUUGUGGAUCAGGCACCUGUGUUUGCAAGCGAGCUGAUGGCCCCCAGCAAAGCCUGGCACAGCAGAGGAAACUCCAGCUCAGAGCGUCCGCAGCAGCAGCAGUCUAAGAAACGCACGCAUCCACCCAACACCCAGGUCCGCUCGACGCCCAGGCCAGCCGCAGUGCUCAGGGUGAGACCGCCGUGGACCACUGGUCAUCCGUGCUGUGGUUUCCAGGCUGGGCCCUGGGGAACCUGAGAUUCGCUGCCCCGUGAUGUGUGUGUGACCUUCAUUCAAAACACGGCCCUAGAGGGAAGGUUCAAGUUGGUGUGAUAAUCCGACUCCUUCGAGCCAGGCUUCAGCCACGGGCUACUCAGCAGAGGGGAGGGCAGCCGCGAUGAGCGCCUGGCCCACUCGCCACAUCCCGCUGGGUGGCAAGUGUCGUUUCCUGGUACCUUUCUUGUUUGCAGGAAUCUGAUAGUAAUCAUAUGAUUUUGUGUACAUCAUUUGGUUUCAGAGUUGCAAAGUGCCACAAAACAGAUGGGAUUUCCAACAGAGCUGUUAUGACCCUGGGCAGCUGCAUCGGAUCAAAGGGCAUAUACAAUGACAAUCAUGAGCUUGUGCUUUUCAAAUACAAAUGGGAAAUUUAGAAAUAUCUUUCAUCAGAAGCGUCCAAGGUCCAUCUCUUCAAAGUCAGAAGUUUUUCCUUUAUUUGGAAACACUGACCUCAGCUGUACUUACAGCCUGUCAUUAAGGCUCAAGGGGAUGAAGAAUGCUGGUCUGCUUGUUUGAUUUUAAAAAUUAGAGAACUAAUAUUUGAUUUUGGCCUGGCACUAGCUGUCACUACAGCUGUGGUCCGUUGGCACAGCUCCCCGGGAGUCUCACAGAACUGCCAGGUGUGAUUACCAGCCAGGUAACACUCUGUGGCCACACACCCACCACACAGCUCCAUGCGCCCCGAAGUCCGCCUCCGUCGACAGGAUGUCGGGUGUUGCUGACUACUCCAAGUGCUAAUCAGUUUUAGCCUCAAGUGACAACUUCCGGAGGCAACAAAACACCAGGGAACAGAGAUCCUCCUGGGCACCCGAGAGCCACUCAUGCUCCUCCCAGGCUGCUUGAGCCUCCGAAGAACCAGCGGACGCUCCAACCGCGGGUACAGCUCCCCCCUUCAUGGCCGUUUCCCCAGGUUUGUCCUUAAUUUGUUUGUUUUUUGACAAGUAGAAUAAUUCACAAAAUUUAUUGUAAAUAAGCCUAAGGUAUCAGAGCAUUCGGGUCCUCAUCCUUAACCGUGCCUCUUUCAUAAUUGUCCAGGAAAACGCAGGUGAGUCCUUUAAAGACAUCAGCAGACCAGUGAUCAGGAACCAGGGCUCCCCUCACUCUCUCUCCUGUAGACCCCAGCCCUCUCUUGUCUUUUCUCUGCCACUGCCAAGAGGUCAAACGGGCCUCACAUGAUGGAUUUAUAGACACAGCACCAUCUUCUUGGCUUUGGGUGCAGGUUUGAAAACAAGCUGGUCAGAGCUGCCACAGGAGGUCCUGUUCCUGCAGGGCCCACCCUGCCCCUCCUAGGAGCUGGGCAUUUCCCUGUGGUGUUCAAAGUGUGUGAACUUUCUUUCACUUGUGGCCAUUUCAUAGUUACACUUCCUUUUUUGUUUUUAAAAGUUAAUCAGCAUUCAAAGUGCUUCAAAAUUUCCCUUGAGCCUAGAUCCCAUGAUAAGGAUAUUUUAUUACUGCCAAGUUAGUUAAGAGUAAGAACAUUUCUGAUGAGUGAUAACAGGCUCUAGGUCGGGGGGGCCAGGAGGCGUAGGAGGGCUUUUCCCAGAGAUAAGCAAAAAAACCUGGAACUUGGGACAGUCCUGUCUCCAGGUGAUAAGAGGGUGCCGGUCUCUUCCCAGAGGUAGUUAUCUCAUCUGAUCAGAGGCCCAGGGUCAGCUGAAAUCACAUCCCCAGGCCGUAUUCAAACACAGCGAGUUGGAAUGCCACCAGGAAGCACCUGCAGCUGGAGAACUGCUGUGGCCUCCUGGGCGGCGUUGGCUGCUGAACCACCAGGCCAGCCCUCCCUGCAGCACCCAUAGGACCCAGACAGGAGCACCGGCACUGACAGGCCUGGUGUCCCUGCCCACCAGCAGGAAAAUGCCAGGCUUCAAAGGGCAAAGCUGACCAAGAGACCCGAGCGGGGCAGCAGGUCACCCCGUGUGUGUCACAGAUGCAGCUAGCACUUCUGAGGCCUGCAGGGACCCAAUCGUCCUGCUGGGAAUGACAACGGGAAAACUGGUGGAAACACGGAAGGUGGUGCCCGGAAGGAGCAUGCUGCAGGAAGGGGAGCCCUCCGCCGCGGGAGCGCAAAGCCCCCAGUUCCUGCACACUGGCCUGACUCUGCUCAGCGCCCUCGCCCACCAAGAGCUGGGACGGGUCAGUGGGUGUUUCGUAACAGGUUUCAAAAGAUGCCAACUCCCACGGGGCUGGCUCGGAGAAUGGCCAUGAGCACCAUCUGGCGAACAGGAGCACAGAGCGCAGGGUCGUGCCACCUUCCACAGACCCCAGGGUGGUUAAAAACAGCCAGAAGCCAACCCCCACCCUAACCUCACUUGGAGGCCUGAAGUCAGCGCUGCGGCCACUUUGAGGAUGGCCCCAGGAGUCCAAGAGGUCCUCAGGGAAGAAAGCCAGCCCUGCGCAGAGAGGACCUGUUUUAAUGUAACUAAAGGUCACAAAAGAAAAACUAAACUGUAUCAAUUUAAUUGUAUUUGAAACAAAGUUACUUUGGAUUCAGACAAAGCUUCCAGAACUCAGCUGUUUUGAUUUUUUUUUCUCAAGAUCAGCCCUGACCUCUGCUUCUGACUCAGAAGCAUUCUAGAAGAUUCUAGAAGUAUCAGAAAAGCCACAAAAGUCCCCUGGGCCUGAAAGGCAGCUGGAAUGUCAGGUUCCUCACCACAUGGGUCACUGGGCUUCUGAGAACUGUCCUCGCCUUUUGCCCUGGGGGGGGGUGCUCUGGGCCAACCGAGGUUUCGCCCUUUCCAUUUUUGGAGAGGGACUGUAUUCCUCAGGCAAGGGGAUCAGUUACUCUGCGCCGGCCAGGUUGCUGACCCUUUGUCCUAGGGCGGAGCUGGAGGCAGGGAUGGGGCAGCUGUGCGUGCCAACUGCUGCAGAUCCCAGGACGCAGGGAAGCUGGGCGGGGCUUCCAGCUGCCACACUCCCGAGAGCAGAGCCCUGAUGCUGGCAUCAGCGCCCACAGGCACUGCUUCUGCUGCCCCUUAGUUGUGGCAGGUCCCUUAACCUGGAGAUCAUGCUAACAGAGACCACAAAAGAACUGAUUUAGUUACCAUUUUCCUCCUUGGAAGCUUUUGGAACAGCAGCUCUUUGGUGGGGGCACUGCAGGGUGACAUCCACACCGGAGGUGCUGAGGACUUGCCCUGCAGCACCUUUCACUUCAGAGCUGAGUUACCGGGUGGUUUGUUUCACAUCUCCCAAUUAGAAGGAGGCAGGCCUGGCCAGGGCAAAGGAGUGGCUGGAAGAAGGACUGGCGGGGAGAAGGGCCAUUGGGGU